rnacentral:rRNA from 1 species
GAUGAACGCUAGCGGCAGGCCUAAUACAUGCAAGUCGAGGGAGAAUGUUGGAUUCGUCUGACAUGAAACCGGCGCACGGGUGCGUAACACGUAUGCAACCUACCUUUAACUGGGGUAUAGCUCAGAGAAAUCUGAAUUAAUCCCCCAUAAGACUACGACAUGGCAUCAUGAUGUAGUUAAAGCUCCGGCGGUUAAGGAUGGGCAUGCGGUACAUUAGCUAGUUGGUGAGGUAAUGGCUCACCAAGGCUACGAUGUAUAGGGGGUCUGAGAGGAUGAUCCCCCACACUGGUACUGAGACACGGACCAGACUCCUACGGGAGGCAGCAGUAGGGAAUAUUGGUCAAUGGACGCAAGUCUGAACCAGCCAUGCCGCGUGAAGUAUGAAGGCCCUAUAGGUCGUAAACUUCUUUUAUUAGGGAAGAAAAAACGGGAUGCGUCCUGUACUGACGGUACGUAAUGAAUAAGGAUCGGCUAACUUCGUGCCAGCAGCCGCUGUAA